UACAGUACCAAUACCAAUACAAAUACUGAAGGAGCUCAUUCUGACAAUGAUCGUAACAAUACCACCAUAUUUGUUGGAGGCCAUGACUCCAAUGUCAAGUGUUCGCUCCAUAUGGGGAAGUCGUCCAUGUCAAGAUCCCUGUUGGGAAGAGAUGUGGCUAAAUUACUCCUGUCAGUGCAUAUUCAGGCCUUCUGCCGAGCAAGCUCUGCAACUGCUGCAAGGGACCUUUUUUUUGGUGGUCAGAAUGUGAGCCUUUCACGGGGAAGAAGCCCUUUGAACAAACAAACUCAUGUUAAUUCUUGCGUACCGAACUUCUAUAAUGCCUUGAGUUGUAUAUAUACUAGAGGUAAAGUGGGUAAUAUAUAACAUGUGAACAUUUUCAGCCUCA